rnacentral:lncRNA from 1 species
CGACAGGGCUUCUGUAUGGGGAGCAGGAGUGGGAGCUGCACAGGAGCUUCAGCACGUGGGGGCUGCAGUCAGGCAUCAGAGUAGACAGGAGAAUCCAAAAUGUGGGGAUUUAACUCCAUGCUGGUGCUGUCUGACUUCAGGGCCGGUGAGUCACCCAGCAGAAAUGCAUACAGCCUUUCCACACUGACUCACACCGCUGCCCGCCGCUCCCCUCUGCCCCACGCCACUGGGCCAGGAGAAAACCCCACAUCCCCCCGGUAUAACCCACGCACCGGUGGCCGUGUGCUAACAGUGGCAUCGGUGGUGACGGUGGCAGGUGGGAAGUGCUGCCAAGCACUUUGAGCAGCCCCCGUGCCAAAACACAGGAAGUGCGCUGAGCAAUCACCCCGCGCAUUGUCAGCUCCAAAAACACCAAAGCAAAACAAAACAAAACAAAAUAAUUAAAAAAAAAAAAAAAGAAGAAGAAGAAGAAUAGGUCUAAGUAGAACAAUUGCCCAGGAGAAAAGAGAAAAAAAUAAAAAUAAAAAAUUAAGAAAAAAACCAGAGGCCAAGGGGCCUGGCCUGGCGCCAAGACCCUUGUUUUCGCUU